rnacentral:rRNA from 1 species
UACGGGGGGGGCAAGCGUUGUUCGGAAUUACUGGGCGUAAAGGGCUCGUAGGCGGCCAACUAAGUCGGAUGUGAAAUCCCCAGGCUUAACCUGGGAACUGCAUCCGAUACUGGAUGGCUUGAAUUCGGGAGAGGGAUGCAGAAUUCCAGGUGUAGCGGCGAAAUGCGUAGAUAUCUGGAGGAAUACCGGUGGCGAAGGCGGCAUCCUGGACCGACAUUGACGCUGAACGGCGAAAGCUAGGGGAGCAAACGGG